rnacentral:rRNA from 1 species
GAUGAACGCUGGCGGCGUGCCUAAUACAUGCAAGUCGAGCGAACAGACGAGGAGCUUGCUCCUCUGACGUUAGCGGCGGACGGGUGAGUAACACGUGGAUAACCUACCUAUAAGACUGGGAUAACUUCGGGAAACCGGAGCUAAUACCGGAUAAUAUAUUGAACCGCAUGGUUCAAUAGUGAAAGACGGCUUUGCUGUCACUUCUAGAUGGAUCCGCGCCGCAUUAGCUAGUUGGUAAGGUAACGGCCUACCAAGGCAACGAUGCGUAGCCGACCUGAGAGGGUGAUCGGCCACACUGGAACUGAGACACGGUCCAGACUCCUACGGGAGGCAGCAGUAGGGAAUCUUCCGCAAUGGGCGAAAGCCUGACGGAGCAACGCCGCGUGAGUGAUGAAGGUCUUCGGAUCGUAAAACUCUGUUAUUAGGGAAGAACAAAUGUGUAAGUAACUAUGCACGUCUUGACGGUACCUAAUCAGAAAGCCACGGCUAACUACGUG